rnacentral:rRNA from 1 species
AAGGAUCAUUAGUGAAUUUUAGGGCGUCGUUUUUAACAACGAGCCUGACCUCCACUUCUAACACUGUGCACUUUGCUUUGGCGCUGAAAACGAGAAUUGUUGUGCUUAACGGCCCUUUUUUCAAAUGAAGCCCUUAGUCUUUUUUUACUUUAAACAUUUGAAGUCAAAGUAUGUAACCAAGUUUAUAAAACAAAAAAAAACUUUCAACAACGGAUCUCUUGGCUCUCGCAUCGAUGAAGAACGCAGCGAAAUGUGAUAAGUAAUGUGAAUUGCAGAAUUCAGUGAAUCAUCGAAUCUUUGAACGCAUCUUGCGCUCUCUGGUAUUCCGGAGAGCAUGUCUGUUUGAGUGUCAUGAACUCUUCAACCCUCCAAUUUCUAGUAGAUUGCGAGGAGUUUGGAUUUUGAGCGUUUUGCUAAUCUUUAGAUUAGCUCGUUCGUAAUGCAUUAGCCUCUCGAAUUCGAUUUCGGAUUGACUCAGUGUAAUAGACUAUUCGCUGAGGACACUUUUUACUAAGUGGCCGAAUGAGAAACUGUUUAGAAGCUUCUAAAGCAAGUUUGAUUAGUCAAAUCUUCAAUUUAGACCUCAGAUCAGGCAGGAUUACCCGCUGAACUUAAG